rnacentral:rRNA from 1 species
ACUGCUAUCGGGGUGGGACUAAGACAUGCGAGUCGAGCGUCUCUAGCUAUGUUGAGACGCGGCAUACGGCUCAGUAACACGUGGCUAACCUACCCUCAGGACGGGGACAAACCCGGGAAACUGGGGCUAAUAUCCGAUAGGCGAGGAAUCCUGGAAUGGUUCUUCACCCAAAGGACAUUGGAAACAUGCUUUCUCUGUCGCCUGGGGAUGGGGCCGCGUCCGAUCAGGUUGUUGGUGAGGUAACGGCUCACCAAGCCUUUAACCGGUACGGGCCGUGAGAGCGGUAGCCCGGAGAUGGGUACUGAGACAAGGACCCAGGCCCUACGGGGCGCAGCAGUCGCGAAAACUCCGCAAUGCACGAAAGUGUGACGGGGCUACCCCGAGUGCCGUCCGCUGAGGAUGGCUUUUCCUUGGUGUAACUAGCCGGGGGAAUAAGGAGAGGGCAAGACUGGUGUCAGCCGCCGCGGUAAUACCAGCUCUCCGAGUGGUAGGGAUGAUUAUUGGGCUUAAAGCGUCCGUAGCCGGUUUAGCAAGUUUCCUGUUAAAUUCAGCGACCUAAUCGUUGAGCCGCGGGAAAUACUACUAGGCUAGGAGGCGGGAGAGGUCGACGGUACUUCUGGGGUAGGGGUGAAAUCCUAUAAUCCCGGGAGGACCAUCAGUGGCGAAGGCUGUCGACUAGAACGCGCUCGACGGUGAGGGACGAAAGCUGGGGGAGCGAACCGGAUUAGAUACCCGGGUAGUCCCAGCUGUAAACGAUGCGGGCUAGGUGUUGGGGUGGCUACGUGCCACUUCAGUGCCGCAGGGAAGCCAUUAAGCCCGCCGCCUGGGGAGUACGGCCGCAAGGCUGAAACUUAAAGGAAUUGGCGGGGGAGCACCACAAGGCGUGAAG